AUUGUUUGAAUGUAGGGGUGGUUGCGCCAGAAAUCGUCUUUGACGGCGACGAAGAGCUAAACCACCCAAAACUUACAUCACUGAAUUCGUUUCAAUGAGAUCUACACGAAUCCACAAUCAAUCUUUCCUAACACUAACCCUAAGCUUUAAACCGAAUGGAAACAUCCAAGGACCCUAAGUUAUAAAUUCUGAAAUUAAAUCCUCAAUUAAUGGAAUCAAAGCCCAACUUGUCGGGGACUUUAAUUCUCCAAGCCGUGAAUUACAUGACUAUAAUGAGCUCAAGAUGAAAUGAAGAAGAAAGUCGAAGACCUACCUCUGAAGACCGGUACGAAGAUGAAGUCUCAGGUACGUUUCAAUUCUCCUUCCUUCCUUUUAUUCGAUUCUUUCUUCUCAUUCUUCUUCACUUCUCGCUGUUUGUGAGCUCUGUGAGAUUCUUGUUGUUCAGAGUCUAUGUGUGAUGAUGUGAGAGAGGUUGAGGGAGACUGAUUGAGAGAGGAUUCGAGAGGAUGGGUGAAAGAUGAUUGAAUAGGGAAUGCUUCAGAGUGUGAGUGAAUGAUUUGUCACCUCGAAAUGAUUGAGAGAUGAUGAACUAUAUAGGGACUAAAGGGAUUAACAAAGUUAAUUAUGUUAGGUUAGAUCAAGUGAAAUUCGGUUAUGAGUUAGUUACACCGGAAAUUAUUGAUAAUCGUGAGGAUUAGUUAGAUGAAAGUCCUCUUGAAUCUGUUACAGUUAGACAAUUUAGAGUUAGAAAGUUAGUUAAAGUUAGUUAGUUUUGGUUAGUACUUUACUCAAAUACAAUUUACAAUUUACAACACUUCAAAUACUCAAAGAGAAGUAAUAAUUCCAUAUGAAAUGCAUACAUAUACUCAAGUACAAUUUUAUAAUUGAAAAUGAUACUAAAUACAAUACUUCAAAUAGAUAAGUAAGCAGUAUAACAAAAUUAAAUAUUUCCUUAGUUUGUUCUAAUGAUUAUAUAUAAACGUGGUUAAGUGGAUUAAUAAAGAAAAAAACUUAUGAAUAUUUUUCUUAAAUUUUUUAUUAUACUCUUUUUUAUUUAUAAUGUUGUUAAUUAACUUAAACUAAAAUACUAUUUUAGGUAUUUUUUUAAGUAAAAAAAUUGCAUUCAAAAUAAGUUACUCAUAAAGUAUGCUUCCAAGAGUACAAACACCAACCUAACCUAAAUACUCUUGUGGUAGAACUCAUCACAUAAAAAAUUCAAUGUAAAUCUCAUAAUAUAGAUCCAAGCUUAACCCUUAUAAAAACACCUUUAUCAUCUCUAUAUGAAUAACUUUUGUUGUAUUUUUUCCUGAUAAUUUAGUCAUCUCAAACACUUUUUUUUAUUAAAAAACUUUGAAAAAUUAUGUAUUUCAUAGAUAUUAAUGGAUAACAUAAUUGAAUAUAAUUCACUUCUAUAAAACCAACUUAUAAUAUAAGAAUUCAAAUUAAAAUUAUCAUGUCUCAAAGCAGAUUUUAAUGCAAUUUUAUAAAACUAUAUCCAAACUUCACACUAAGCGCAUUACUGUUUUCACUCCAACAUGAAACAAACACUCUCUAAAAAGAAAUCAAAAUCAAAAUAUAAUAUUACCUUGGAUGAUUUUACAUUUGAAACAAACACUCUCCAAAGUUAAAAUAUCCAUUUGAAUCAUGGCUAAUUUGAAAUUGGGUCUCAAUGUGGAUAAAUGAUCAGUGAUAAGGAAAAUUUUGAAAUUUAGGACUAUGUUAAAUUGUUUAUUUUGUUAAUGAAAAUUGUGUGCUUGUUAAAACAACUUUCAUACUUUAAAGAGAUGUUUUAAGUUAUUUACUUACGGUUUAAAUGUUAAAUUUUCAUGAACUAGAAGUAUAAUGCGAUGUAGUUGUGAUGCUAAAUUUUUAUGAACUAAAAAUAUAAUAUGAUAUAGUUGUGUUGCUAAAUUUGUAUGAACCCGAAGAAAAAAGUGGUAUACUUGUGAUGCUGGAUUUUCAUGAAUUAGAAGUAUAAUAUGAUAUAAUUGUGAUAUUCUCAUGAAAUAGAAGUAUAAUAUGAUAUAAUUGUGAUGCUGAAUUUUCGUAAACCAAAAGUAUAACAUGAUAUAAUUGUGAUGCUGAAUUUUUA
rnacentral:lncRNA from 1 species